UCAGGCCUUUCACACUGUCAGUUCUUGCAGUUCAUUACCGAGUAAAAAAAACAAACAGCUGGCAACGUUAAAAACAGCUGUUCAGGUGGGCUCAUAGAAUUGGAACUGUAUAUGAAAUGUUGCGCUGAGCUUACCAAAAUGGCGCCCUGUUGGGCUCAGAGCGUACUUCAUGCCUAUGACGUAACUGAUCUAUCUUGCUUUGUUCUAGAAUCUUUGGUUUAGGAGUUGGCAUUUUUCCUUACUAAAAGUAGGUCUGAAAGGCUUUUUUUUUCUUUCUAACUUUUAAGAGAAAACUUCUAGCUAAAACCUUUUAGUGCGAUUUAGGAGUACUCCUAGUGGUAAGAUAAAAGGCUUUGUGAAUACGGCCCCGGAACAACAUUGCAUGGCUGAGAAGACAGAUGGCUGACGAGAUGAUUCUUGCAUCUGAGUCCAAGGAGGAUUUAUGCUCCCACUGUGGACUGGAAGUUCCUCUGUCGCUAAAUUCAUUCAAGCAAUAUUAUUUGGAUCCAAUGUGAAAAGUGCCAGAGAUGGUUUCACACAUCUUGUCUUGGACUAACACCCGACUGUGUGCCAGAUGAAGACAGCACUUGGUGUUGUGAAAUUUGUUGCAUUUGAGCUGUAAAUACUGUAAAUAGUUUGAAGUUUUUGUUUCAUUUAUUUCAAUUUAGCAUUUGUAGCUUGGUAAUGUGGAUGAGAGAAGCUGGUUGCCCACUCUUUAUUUUCAAUUUCACAUGUGAGAUGUCACUUCCCCACCAUUUCUGAUGUAAUCAAAUUCUAUGUUUUUUAUUUUUUAAUACAGAAUGAAAAAUGCUUUUGGAUUGAAAUUUGUUUUCUUUAAAGUAAUUUGCUUUC